UAGCAGAUACUUAGGUAAUCUUGCUGUUCAGAUUUCAGGUUGGACAAAUGCUUUGCCAGACAUGGUCAUUUCACAUCUAUUUGGAAAGGAAGAGAUUCACAGCAACCAUGACCUGAUCCAUACUUACCGUCAGCAUAUCAUUAAUGAUAUGAAUCAAACCAACCUUCAUCUCUUUGUCAACUCUUACAACAGUCGGCGAGACCUAGAGAUUGAGCGCCCUGUUCCUGGAGUGAAUGUUGUCACCCUUCAGUAAGUAUUUUGAGAGCUUACUGCAAGUCAGGGACUGCCAUUAGGAAA